AGUGAACGCUGGCGGUAGGCCUAACACAUGCAAGUCGAACGGCAGCACAGUAAGAGCUUGCUCUUACGGGUGGCGAGUGGCGGACGGGUGAGGAAUACAUCGGAAUCUACUUUUUCGUGGGGGAUAACGUAGGGAAACUUACGCUAAUACCUCAUACGACCUACGGGUGAAAGCAGGGGAUCUUCGGAACUUGCGCGAUUGAAUGAGCCGAUGUCGGAUUAGCUAGUUGGCGGGGUGAAGGCCCACCAAGGCGACGAUCCGUAGCUGGUCUGAGAGGAUGAUCAGCCACACUGGAACUGAGACAGGGUCCAGACUCCUACGGGAGGCAGCAGUGGGGAAUAUUGGACAAUGGGCGCAAGCCUGAUCCAGCCAUACCGCGUGGGUGAAGAAGGCCUUCGGGUUGUAAAGCCCUUUUGUUGGGAAAGAAAAGCAGCAGGUUAAUACCCCGCUGUUCUGACGGUACCCAAAGAAUAAGCACCGGCUAACUUCGUG
rnacentral:rRNA from 1 species